CACGUAGGGCGCAAGCGUUGUCCGGAAUUAUUGGGCGUAAAGAGCUCGUAGGCGGUCUGCUGCGUCCGCUGUGAAAACUCGGGGCUUAACCCCGAGCCUGCAGUGGAUACGGGCAGACUAGAGGUAGGUAGGGGAGAAUGGAAUUCCCGGUGUAGCGGUGAAAUGCGCAGAUAUCGGGAGGAACACCGGUGGCGAAGGCGGUUCUCUGGGCCUUACCUAACGCUGAGGAGCGAAAGCGUGGGGAGCGAACAGG
rnacentral:rRNA from 1 species